AUCAGGAACCCACCUCCCACGCCCAACCCCCUCGCUCCUCCCAAUCCCAUAUCUCUCCGAAGAAAAAUUGCCACCGUCGUCCCUCGUGAUAGCCACUCCCAGAUCUCCCCUCGGAGCUUGAUCUCGGUCCUCCUCCGCCAUGCGCCCGCCUCCUCCCACGACUGUGGCGCGAGGUUCUCCUCCUCCUCGCUCACAAUCCACAUGCCCGCCGCGCCGGCAUAGGCGCCGACGCCGAUGACUCCGGCGGCCGGCGCCCACCCUCCUAUAGAAGAAUAUAAAAGGCCAAAACAGAGAUUCUUCUAUGGGCAGAAGAAAGAUCGAAUUGACCUUGUGCUUUGACGGUGGUAUGGAUAUCGAUGGCCGUCCGUCACCAAUCAAAGGAGGGUGAUGUCAUACAUUGUGUAGAUGGGGUACUCGGCUGACAACAAGCUCCAAGGCAAGAGGGUGGCAACCGACAAGCAGAGUCUCCGUGUUGAGGAGGUCAUCCUACUCCCUGUACAUUCCUGGCCUCGCGAGAACGUGCACUGGUUUGAUUUGGUCCAAUUCAGUUUGAUUCAAUAGUUGUGGUAGUGCUGAAUUGUCAGAUUCAACAUUUGUUUGCCAAGUCUUUACUUCAGUGAAAUCACUCAGAUAGAAGUAGGAGAGGAAGAAAAAGAACGUCAUUAUAUUCAGGUCCAGUGGUAAAUGCUUACAUAUGUUCUUGAUCCCCACACACAACUUGCUUUUAUUAGUACUUUUCUUGUUGGUGGAACAUAACUAGAGAAAAUAUUUGUGUGGUUUUAGCAUGUUCUGAUUAUGAAAAAUCAGAAUUCGAUACCCAUCUUUUAUUUGUCGUUCAUGUUUCGACGCUACAACUUGCUUUUAUUAGUAUUUUUUUUGUUGGUGGAACAUAACUAGAGCAAAUAUUGUGUGUGGUUUUAGCAUGUUCUGAUUAUGAAAAAUCAGAAUUUGGUACCCA